UACGAAGGGGGCUAGCGUUGCUCGGAAUGACUGGGCGUAAAGCGUGCGCAGGCGGUUCGUUGUGUCGGCGGUGAAAGCCCCGGGCUUAACCUGGGAAUGGCCGUUGAAACUGGCGAACUGGAGUGUGGCAGAGGGGGGUGGAAUUCCGCGUGUAGCAGUGAAAUGCGUAGAGAUGCGGAGGAACACCGAUGGCGAAGGCAGCCCCCUGGGCUAACACUGACGCUCAGGCACGAAAGCGUGGGGAGCAAACAGG
rnacentral:rRNA from 1 species